GUUUGGAUCUGAGUCCAGCCCUUUCCAGGUCUCAGUGUGGAUCUGAGUCCAGCCCUUUCCAGGUCUCAGUGUGGAUCUGAGUCCAGCCCAUUCCAGGUCUCAGUGUGGACCCAAUUCCAGCCCAUUCCAAGUCUCAGUGUGGAUCUGAGUCCAGCCCUUUCCAGGUUUCAGUUUGGACCCAACUCCAGCCCUUUCCGUGUCCCUGUGACUUGGUGAGGGUGGCUGACCUCACACCACCCCAAAAGCCUGCUGUAAGUGUAGAAGUGAUAAGAGCAGUCAGCUGGCUGGGAGAGGAGGGAGAAGGAUGUCGUGUGGGGAAAGUUGAGGGUCUCUGUGCCUCAACCUGCAAAUCCUGGCACUGGACAGAGCUUCCCCCUGGACAAACCUGUCUGAGAGCAAGGUAAGAUCAGCCCCAGCCUGUGGGUGAGUCACAGAGAGCCAGGACACACCUGGCAGGAUCAGCAGAGACUGUGUGGGGCCAGGAACUGCUGAAUAAUGGAAAAUGGGAAAAAAAAAGCCUUUGUUGCUUUCUCAAACAGGGCUGGAGGAAUUAUUAGCAGCAGAAGAGUGCCUGGAGCUGCAGUGCCCAGGUAGUUUUCCAGGCUGGCUGGGAGCUGGCUGUGACUCAGAAUCUGUUUGAACCCACCAGCAGGAAAAGGAGAGGGACUCUGGUUCAGUAUUAAAGAAAAUAAGCCUGACACAACUUUCUGAAGGCACUGUUACACUGAUCUGCUGUUGGCUCAGUAGGCAGGGCUGAGAUUAGCAGCACUGAAAGGAUGUGAGGACAAUGAUUGUCUUUUAAGGGAAAUUUAAACAGCCAGAAUAAAAGCUUCCCUUGAUGUCUUCCCUCCAUUCUGUCUGGGCCCUUUGAAAUCUCUUCAAAUCACUCAUGCUCCCUAGAUUAAGCCAGCAGACAGGAUUAAUCUGUAUAAAAAAAUACCCCUUUCAGGUCACUGCAGUGACAUUUCAAUCAGGAGCAGCAAUAAUGUCCCAUUUUAAAUUAAGUGCAGGUAACAAAGGUUGCUGUGCCCUCCCACAGCCAGACUUUGGAAUAAAUCUAACAUGUGCUGUGCUUUGAGUUUGGAGUCUGUUAAAGGUGCUCAGAGGGGACAGGCAGGAUCCCAGGGACAUCAAUCCAAAACUUGUACUUGUGUGAAGUGUGCUGCAGUUGGAAGAUCUGUUUUACCCCAGAACAAUUUCCUUCUUGGCAGCAAGGAGGCUCUGGCAGUGCUGUGUCUUAGGGAGAGAUCCAGCCAAAAAGCUGAAACUGCAGAUUUUUCUGAUGAGUCUGGAUAAAACGCAACAUCCAAGUGAAAGGGAAAAUCCCAGUUCCUUCUCCCAGUCCUGAGCUGGUGUCAGAAACUGUUUCACAUCCAAACUCGGGGAGAGAGCAGCAUUUGGGUCCCAGUUUUGGGGCCUGCUCCAGGAUGUGACACCGUGAUAGAUGAGCUCUCAGUGGUGUAAAUUGGGGUAGCCCCAUGAAACACCACAAUUCCAGGGAUGGCUCAAAUGCCUGGGACUUUGCUCCUGAAUCCCUGUGGCUUCUGAGUCAUCUCUGCUCUCUCCUCUGAGCUUGGCUGUGCUGGCACUGCCACUUUCCCACUCCAGCCCAGCCUGGAAUCCUCUUUCUUGACAGACUUUUACUCAACUUUUCCCAAACUUUUCCCUUCUCCAUUUUUUUGCUGAAGUCUCCUAAUUCCCCCCUUCCCUCCUGGUGCUAAAUAUGAGCUGAUUCAGUUCCAAGAAACCUGAUCUUUGUGUCCAAGUGCAAUAAACAGCCCCAGACAUGUGAGACA